UACGUAGGUGGCAAGCGUUGUCCGGAUUUAUUGGGUUUAAAGGGUGCGUAGGCGGGUAUUUAAGUCAGAGGUGAAAGACGGCCGCUCAACGGUCGCAGUGCCUUUGAUACUGGAUAUCUUGAGUGCAGACGAGGUCUGUGGAAUGGAUGGUGUAGCGGUGAAAUGCUUAGAGAUCCGGAGGAACACCAAAGGCGAAGGCAGUGUCCUGGGGAGUACCUGACGCUCAGGUGCGAAAGCCAGGGGAGCGAACGGG
rnacentral:rRNA from 1 species